CAGCUGUCAAAAUUACUUCGGUAAAAAGGAGAAAUUUUACUUGAGUGCUUUACGUUUCAGGUGCAUACUACGCAUUAUUGGCCGGUACACUCAGAAUUAAGAUCAAUCGUUGGUAGUUUAAUAUACAAUCAUUUUUAUCAUUUGUGAGAUUUAUACUACGUGUGGUUUAGUGAGUAUACUAUUUUGGAGUACAAAACUAAACUGAGCCUGAUUACCAUUAGUGUAUUUUGUUCAGUGUUUAUAUCAUUGUUUUGGCUCCGAUCAAAACAUUGUGUUUCAGCUCCUGUAAAAACUUGAAGUUAAUUUAAAAAAGUUGAUAAAUAAUUGGCAAUAAUGGAUCUUGCGGAGAAUAAGUGCCGUGCGAAAAACUGAUUGUUUUGCUGCUUUCCUGCUGCUGCAGCUUUUUGCCAUGUUAUCGUCGGAUGUUGUUCCAGGAGCAAGAGGGAAUCAAUCCUUCUCCAAAUUGCUUGCUGGAAUGCUCUUAUUUGGUGGCCGAUUGUCCCCGGAUACGUCUUGGUAUUGCAUCUGUUAACCAGAAACGGAGAUAGAGGCGCAAGUUGCCGAAAAAAAUGCUUCUUCAGGGUCCUGGCCUUCCAAACCAUCAUGGAAUUGAAAUGCAUCGUCACCAAAAAAUCCAUAUUCCAAAUCGUUUCCUGCUUACGACCUAAACUUGAACUGCUGUGAUCGGAAGAGACGGAGGCUACUUGGAGAACCAACGAUUAGGGUAAGAAGACGUAUGGGUCCAUCCACAAAGUGCAUUUUAUGACAACGAUCAAUGGAAGCAGGAAGUCUCUAAAUUGCAGAGAGCAACGAACAUUCAUCCGUUCUGAUUUUGUGCUAAAUAGGAACUCAUUUUUGCAACAUAUGUUUAUUCUGUUAUUAUGUAUUGAACGCUUAUUAGUAAUAAAGAUUAAUUUAUGUUGUUUUUUU
rnacentral:lncRNA from 1 species